CCUUUCUUAGUGUUCUCUUUUUAUAUUUUACAUUUCGUUGUAUACGUAGCUUAGCUUGCAAGGAGUAUGGGUUACUAUAAAUACCCAACUCCUCUAUUGUAAUUUUCACUUUUGAUAUAAAUGAGAAUUGAGUUUUCUGAAUCAGAAACUAUUCUCUCUUGAAAGUCACAAGCUAGAGAGUCCAAAGGCUCCCUCUAGCCACCCUUCAAGCACACUCUCUUCCAUUUUUCAUUUCCACCGGGCUUCUCUCUCAUCCACUUCAGGCACACAUCAUCUGCCACCAUGCACGCAUCAGCGUUCUAUUCCUCCACUCUUCAUUCAGCCACAUGUGAUAUCUUUCACGCCUCACUUUCAUUUUAGUGGUUACGGGCUUCAUCAUCAUUCUCCACAUCUCAGGUUUUCCUCGAGAGCUCCUCCAUUCUCAAAGCUCGCCUUCUCCUCCGUAAGUUUUCAUCAUCAUAGAGUCUUCACUUCAUUCUCUACCUCGUUAUUCUUCUUUCCACCUAAAACCUAGCCUCUUCACAUAUCCUUUGCUCGUGUUUCUCACAGAUCUCCAUCCUUUUCACCAUUUUCCAUUGUUUUGACCGAUUAAAACCUUGUUUUAAUCAUUUUCCACCGAUUAAACAUCAUUCCACCAUUUAAUCCUUCAUUCCAACCAUUCAAUCUUAAAUUUGAACCGAUUAAUCGGUUCAAUUUGUGUUCCUCACCAUUUUAGGGUUCUUCGACUCAAAUCCUCUCUGGUUUUAGAGUGUAACUUUUCUCCUAAGAUUUCCUAGAGUC
rnacentral:lncRNA from 1 species